UACGUAGGGUGCGAGCGUUGUCCGGAAUUACUGGCGUAAAGAGCUCGUAGGCGGUUUGUCGCGUCUGCUGUGAAAACUCGGGGCUUAACUCCGGGCCUGCAGUGGGUACGGGCAGACUAGAGUGCGGUAGGGGAGACUGGAAUUCCUGGUGUAGCGGUGAAAUGCGCAGAUAUCAGGAGGAACACCGGUGGCGAAGGCGGGUCUCUGGGCCGUAACUGACGCUGAGGAGCGAAAGCGUGGGGAGCGAACAGG
rnacentral:rRNA from 1 species